AAUAGAUACCCGGGUAGUCCACGCCGUAAACGAUGAGUGCUAAGUGUUAGAGGGUUUCCGCCCUUUAGUGCUGCAGCUAACGCAUUAAGCACUCCGCCUGGGGAGUACGGCCGCAAGGCUGAAACUCAAAGGAAUUGACGGGGGGCCCGCACAAGCGGUGGAGCAUGUGGUUUAAUUCGAAGCAACGCGAAGAACCUUACCAGGUCUUGACAUCCUCUGACAACUCUAGAGAUAGAGCGUUCCCCUUCGGGGGACAGAGUGACAGGUGGUGCAUGGUUGUCGUCAGCUCGUGUCGUGAGAUGUUGGGUUAAGUCCCGCAACGAGCGCAACCCUUGAUCUUAGUUGCCAGCAUUCAGUUGGGCACUCUAAGGUGACUGCCGGUGACAAACCGGAGGAAGGUGGGGAUGACGUCAAAUCAUCAUGCCCCUUACGACCUGGGCUACACACGUGCUACAAUGGAUGGUACAAAGGGCUGCAAGACCGCGAGGUCAAGCCAAUCCCAUAAAACCAUUCUCAGUUCGGAUUGUAGG
rnacentral:rRNA from 1 species